UGAAUACGAGAUGCUACGGCGUCGAAGCAGUCUAUGUCAUACUUCCAAGAAAAGCUUGCACUGUCAUAAACAAAUAAUGCCUGUACCAUAACCGACACAGGUGGGUAGGUAGAGUAUACUAAGGGGCGCGAGAUAACUCUCUCUAAGGAACUCGGCAAAAUGACUCCGUAACUUCGGGAGAAGGAGUGCCUUAUUUAUAAGGUUGCAAUAACAAGAUCCAAGCAACUGUUUACCAAAAACACAGGUCUCCGCUAAGUCGUAAGACGAUGUAUGGGGGCUGACGCCUGCCCAGUGCCAGAAGGUUAAAGAAGUUGGUUAGCAUCCGCGAAGCUGAUAACUGAAGCCCUGGUGAACGGCGGCCGUAACGAUAACGGUCCUAAGGUAGCGAAAUUCCUUGUCGGGUAAGUUCCGACCCGCACGAAAGGCGUAAUGAUUUGGAUACUGUCUCGGAGAGGGGCUCGGUGAAAUAGACUUGUCUGUGAAGAUGCGGACUACCUGCACCAGGACAGAAAGACCCUAUGAAGCUUUACUGUAACCUGAAAUUGAAAUUGGACUUUACUUGCGCAGUAUAGGUGGGAGGCGUUGAGAAUAUUCUUGCGGGAUUAUUGGAGCCAUCAGUGAGAUACCACUCUUGUAAUGUUAGAUUUCUAACUUUGUAUCAUUAUCUGGUCAAAGAACAGUUUCAGGCGGGCAGUUUGACUGGGGCGGUCGCCUCCUAAACGGUAACGGAGGCGCACAAAGGUUUCCUCUGAACGGGUAGAAAUCGUAUCUAGAGUGUAAAGGCAUAAGGAAGCUUGACUGUGAGACCUACAAGUCGAGCAGGGACGAAAGUCGGUCUUAGUGAUCUGACGGUGCUGAGUGGAAAGGCCGUCACUCAACGGAUAAAAGUUACUCUAGGAUAACAGGCUGAUCUCCCCCAAGAGUUCACAUCGACGGGGAGGUUUGGCACCUCGAUGUCGGCUCAUCGCAUCCUGGGGCGGUAGUACGUCCCAAGGGUUGGGCUGUUCGCCCAUGAAAGCGGUACGCGAGCUGGGUUCAGAACGUCGUGAGACAGUUCGGUCCAUAUCCGGUGUAGGCGUUAGAAUAUUGAGAGGAGCCUUCUUUAGUACGAGAGGACCGAGAAGGACAUACCUCUGGUGUACCAGUUAUCGUGCCAACGGUAAACGCUGGGUAGCUAUGUGUGGAGUGGAUAACCGCUGAAAGCAUCUAAGUGGGAAGCCCACCUCAAGAUAAGUAUUCUCA
rnacentral:rRNA from 1 species